rnacentral:misc_RNA from 1 species
GAUGAAGAACGCAGCGAAAUGCGAUAAGUAAUGUGAAUUGCAGAAUUCAGUGAAUCAUCGAAUCUUUGAACGCACAUUGCGCCCGCUAGUAUUCUGGCGGGCAUGCCUGUCCGAGCGUCAUUUCAACCCUCAAGCCCCCGGGCUUGGUGUUGGGGAUCGGCGAGCCUCCGCGCCCGCCGUCCCCUAAAUCUAGUGGCGGUCUCGCUGUAGCUUCCUCUGCGUAGUAGCACACCUCGCACUGGGAAACAGCGCGGCCACGCCGUUAAACCCCCGACUUUCUGAACGUUGACCUCGGAUCAGGUAGGAAUACCCGCUGAACUUAAGCAUAUCAAUAAGCGGAGGA